rnacentral:lncRNA from 1 species
GUUUGCUUCCCGUUCCACCAUAAUUGUAAGUUUCCUUAGGCCUCCACAUCCAGGCUGAACUGUGAGUUAAUAAAACUUCUUUCCUUUGCCCAGUGUCAGGUUCUGUGCUCUGUCUUUCCUCUAGCCCUCAGCUUAAUAGGUUGUGACCAAGGCAAUUCAAGGAAUUGUCCCAGGGGAGGGGAACUGGUGGAAUGAGUACCUGGCAAAAGGAAAGCAGUUGUCAUGACUGGCCAAGACUAAAGGCAACAGAGGAAACUUGAAAUCUGUAAGUGUCAUAAAAAUUGCAAGUACUGUUGACUCAGAUGUACUGAGAGGUUCACAUUAUCACUGCCAACUCUGCUACGUUGCCUACAAAGGAAUCCACACACCAACACUGGUGAAGAUGCAAUGAGAAAGCACAGUCUUUGAAGCAAGAGAGAGCCCUUACGAGAUGCUGAAUCCGCUAGUGCCUUGACAUGGGACUUUCCAACCUUCAAAACUAAAAACUGUCAAGACCAGUGAACACCUAGUGUUACUUGCACCAAGAAUAGUAACCACGGCUCUUGCAGAACUUGAAGGUAUAUUAUUAAAAGCGAUGAUUGUGGAAAUUUCUGUCUUAUUACUGAACACAGAGGAAAACAGUAAGUAUUUUGCAUUUAAGUAUAAUCUUAGUUUUAGAUUUUCAGACACUGUUUAUAGGUCUAAGAAAGUUCUAUUUUAUCUCCGCUUUAUUAAUAAUUUUGGAUAUUAUCAAAUGCAUUUACAACAUCUAUUGAAGGAACCAUUUAAAUUUUUUGUUAAUGUGGUUAAAUAAAUUUAUUGACAUUCAAAUAUUAAGCCAAGCUUGUAUUUCUGAAAUAAAUGAUACUUAUUCAUAUGUAUUAUUUCCAUUUAGGUUAUUGUGUUCCAUUUGUUGAUAAUGUGUUAAGAUUUUACAUCUGUGCUCAUGAGAGUAGCCUUUAAUUUUUUGUUCUUAUAAUGUUCUUACUAGUUUUUGUUGUCAGGGUUAUGUUUGUGUAAUCAAAUAUACUGGGAAGUGUUUUCUUCAUUUUUAUUCUCAAGAAUACUGUACAUAAGAUUUAUAUUAUUUCUUCUUUAAAUGUUGGCAGGAAUUCACCAGUUAAAGCUCCUGGGCCUAGACUAUGUGUCUGUGUGUGUGUGUGUGUGUGUGUGUGUGUGUGUGUGUGUGCGCGCGCGGUAUAUGUAAGUUCUUUAAUUAUAAUUAUCUUUUAUUUCUUAUGUUAUUUCUGUGUUUUCAAAUGUUUUUCUCAUUUUGUUAAAUUUUUAAAUAUAUUGAUACAAAAUUGUUAAUGAGAUACUCAUGCAAUGUUUUGUAUGUCUGUGUGGUUUGUAGUGAUAUCCCUUCUUUUCAUUCCUGAUGCUUAAAAAUUUUGGUUUAUUUAUUUCCUUCUUGAUUUAUCUUGCUAAUCGUUUAUCAGUUUUAUUUCUAUUCUUAAAAUGCCAUUUAUUUUUCUUUCUAAAUUUUUUCAGUUGUGUCUGCCUUCUCUCUCAUUUGUUUCUUUGUUUCUUACAUUUUCCUUUAUUUCUUCCAUUGUGGGGCUUAUUAUUUUCUUUACGUGACUUCCUAUAAAUAAGUUCUUAUGUCAUUGACUUUUUAUUGUUUUAUAUGUUCCAACGUACAUACGUAUGAUUAUAAGUCUGGCUUUCAGCAGUGCCAUAACUGAAAUCUACAAGUUAUGAUAUACUUUUUAUUUUCAUUCCAUUUAAAAUAUAUUCUCACAUUUACUGUAAGUUCUUAUUUGAUUUAUGUGUUAUUAAAGACAUAUUUGUUGCUUUUUAUACAAACAUUUGAGAUUUCCAGAUUAGUUAUUAAUUUCCACUAUAAUUUUAUUGUGGUCAUAGAAUAUACUUUGUAUGUCCUUUGAAAUUUAUUAAAAUCUGUUUCCAGAGAAAAAUGUCUAUCCACAUGCAAAAGAAUAAAAUUGCAUCUUUAUCUAGCACCCUAAACAAAAAUCAACUCACGCUGCAUUAAACACUUAAACAGAAGACCCAAAAUCAUGAAACUCCUGAGAAAAAACUUAGGAGAAAAGCUCUUGAUGUGAACUUUGAGAGCAAAGGAUGAUAAAGUUUUAGGCCUCUGUAACUGAAGGGUUAGUAUUGGCAUUAUAGGACACGGGGAAACAAUUGGUAGAGCACAACUGGAAGAGAACGUUAGAAUUUUAGUUUUAGACAUGUUAAGUUAAGUAACCUGACUAGACCUAAGAACCAGCACCCCAAUGCCUAUCAUGCUUGUCAUUCUCUUCCUUUUUCUUCACAUUUUUUAAGGAAUCUUCUGCUGAGAUGAACUUUUAAAUACUUACAAUCAAAUUAUACAUAGAGCUUCACUGGGAAAAGCUAAAAUUGGAUAUAAUAUACCAAUGAAAGGCACAGCUGAUAUGAUUUUCUUAACCAUGCAGUUACAGCAUGCUAUGUAAUAACUGAGACCAAUGGAAUACAUUUUUCUUCCUUAAAAUUCUUGCUGAUAUGCUCUUCAUGUAAGAAAUAGUUUAGCUAACAUAACAUUUAAGGGUGAACACAAGUAACUAAUAAUUCUUUUUAGUUGUAAUAGAUGGUUUAAAGUAAUCAACAGAUGUUUUAUCUCAAUGAUGAUUUGCCAGGUGUAAUUUUCUUUAUUUAAAUACAUUCAGCAAAACAAAGGAGAAAUCAUGAUAGUCAUCUAAUUUUUAUUUUUGACUAUUCUUCAACUUUGAAAUAUUUGCCUAGAACGCAUUGUAUUUCUCAAGAGCAAUAUAAAUAUCAUAAGUACCAUCACUUAGUGCUACAUAAAUUGAGCAAAUUAUUUAGCAAUCCUGAAGUUCUAUAUCUCUCUUUCUCUAUUGCAUAUGUCAGUGAUCCUGUAGCCCUGGUUUCAAACUGCCGAUUCACAGACCAAAUGUCUCUCUGAGGACACUGUCAUCUGUCUCACUGGUAGAGUGAGAAAAAAUGUGAAAAUAUCAUGACUUUUCUACAUAAGUUAAAUGCAUCCAUUAUUUUGUAAUAACAUUUCUACUUUUUGGAAGUCAAUCUGUUGAUAGUAGAUGAUAAAUGAUAGCUAUUGCUUCUGUUUGUUUUCCAAGUAUAUAUUUGUCAAAAUAAAACUCAUAUAUUGGUUCCUAUUUUAAGUAUUUUUGUCUUCUUGUUUAAAUGUUACUACUUGUGAAAUACAAAAAUUCUAGAGGCAAUAAUCUACCUAAUAAUGUCCAAACAUUAUAAUUGUUUUAAAAGACCCUUCAUUUUGUCCUAUUCCUAUAUCUCCCCACUUAAUUUCCA